GUGUGGGGUCAAUUGGUAAGGACUGCUUUCUGUUGUGCUCCUUGUGCAGAGGUAGGGAGUGGAGGUAGAGGACUGCUAAGUUGUGAGCCGAGGUGAUGGAGAGCGGGGGUGUGGAUAACAUCGACUGGGACUCCAUGUUGAAACUUUCUAAAGGUGUUCACUGCAUAUUUUUUUUAGAGCCUCACAGUGACAACCUGGACUCUUGAUGAAUUUAAGGUUUCCCAAGGGGACGCUACUGAGAAGCUGGCUCACCAAGUCGCGGCCCAGGUUGCUGCUGCUCAUCGCAGGGUUGAAGAGGCCUCAGGUGACCCUCAUGAGGAGGAAAAGGAUGAAGCGCACAAAAGUAGCAAAGGCCACGUAAGCGAACCUGCAGUCGGAUGCCCCACUUCACUUGAGACCCUCGAGGACAGGAUCUGCUCGUUAGAUAUGGAAGACAAAGAAGAGGAAGACCAGUGUGUUGGAUCUUUGCCCCAGCAACGAACUAUAAUCCAGGGAUCACAAAACAGAGUGAAGCAAGAGGACGAACCACAGAGAUUGAGACCUCCAGAUUAAUCAGGAUUACACCCACAACCUGGACUACAACUUCACCCCCCUAUUAAAAUAUGCAUCUGUUUUGGCUCAUUAGACUGUAAUGACUGUAGCUUGUACUUCAUUCCUAUCCAAAGACAAACUGUCCCUGUGUUCUUAGUUCAGCCUGUUUCAGGUUUCCAGGUCCACGUGUUUUAAUCUCAGAAAAAGUCCAAACCUGAUGCUGAUUAAACUCUGACGAGAUGCC